rnacentral:sRNA from 1 species
GCAUUUAAUAUGUGUGAUAUGUUUGAUGAUUGAUUGAUGGUUGGUGUUUGAAUAAUACCGUGGCUUCAAACACCAACCAUCAAUCAAUCAUCAAACCUAUCACACAUAUUAAAUGC